rnacentral:rRNA from 1 species
AUGGAGGUCGCGGUGAGCGCCUCCCAUGGCGUGAUGGGUCCCCUGCUGGGGAAGCUUGCCGACUUGCUCGCCGGCAAGUACGGCCGCAUACGAGGGGUCCGCGGUGAGAUCCUUUCCCUCCAAGCUGAGCUCACCAGCAUGCAUGCCGCGCUCAAAAACUACACCAUGCUAGAAGACCCUGAUGUCCAGGUGAUGACGUGGACAUCGCUGCUCAGGGAGCUGGCCUAUGAUACCGAAGAUUGCAUCGACAAGUUCAUCCGUCGCCUCGGCAAACGCGGGCGUCGGGGAGGCUUCAAGGAGCUCCUCCGUGACACCACUCGCUUCCUCAAAUCGCUCAAUUCUCGCUGUGGAAUUGCCGACCAGAUCGACGAGCUCAAGGCCCGCAUCAAGCAUGUCAAAGAGCUCAAGGAUUGUUACAAGCUGAGUGAGAUUCUGCGCAGCAAGACCGAGCAUGCGGCCGUGGAUCCUCGGUUGUGUGCUCUGUUUGCCGAGGAGGCACACCUUGUGGGUGUGGAGGGUCCAAGAGAUGAUCUUGUCAAGUGGAUGUUGAAAGAAGAAAACAGCUCCACCAAGGAUCGUAAGGUGUUGUCAAUUGUUGGAUUUGGUGGAUUAGGAAAGACAACACUCGCAAAUGAGGUCUAUCGCAAGAUUCAAGGGCAUUUCGAUUGUCAGGUUUUUGUAUCGGUCUCACAAAAGCCAUAUAUAAAGAAUAUUAUAAAGGAUGUAAUCUCUCAAGUGCCAUGCCAAGAUGGAUCCACAAAAGACACAAGUGAUUGGGAUGAAAAGAAGUCCAUUGCGAAGCUAAGAGAACUGCUACAAGAUAAAAGGUAUCUUGUCAUAGUGGAUGAUAUAUGGUCUACUCAAGCAUGGAACAAUAUCAAGUGUGCUUUUCCAUACAAUAAUUGUUCUAGCAGAAUUAUAACUACUACACGCAUUAUUGAUGUGGCAAGAUCAUGUUGUCCUGGUAGUGAUGACCGUGUGUAUGAAAUGGCAGCCCUAAGUGAUCUUCACUCCAAAAGAUUGUUUCUCAAAAGAAUUUUCGGCUCUGAGGACCACUGCCCUGAUAUGCUGAAAGAAAGUUCAAAUGAAAUCCUGAAAAAAUGUGGAGGCCUACCACUGGCAAUUAUUAGUAUAUCUAGUUUGUUAGCAAAUAGACCAGUUGUCAAGGAGGAGUGGGAGAAGAUUAUAAGAUCAAUUGGUUCUGCACUGGAAAAUAACCAGAGUUUGGAGGGAAUGAGUAAGAUACUAUUACUUAGCUACAAUGAUCUUCCACCUAAUCUCAAGACAUGUUUAUUGUAUUUAAGUGUAUUCCCCGAGGAUUAUGUGAUUGAUCGAGAGAGGUUAGUGAGGCGGUGGAUAGCGGAAGGAUUUAUCUCUGAAGAGCGUGGACAAAGCCAACAAGAAGUCGCUGAGAGAUACUUCUAUGAGCUUGUCAACAAAAGCAUGGUACAGCCUGAGGACAUCGGCUAUGAUGGCAAGGCUCGUGCUUGCCGAGUCCAUGACAUGAUGCUAGAAAUUAUUAUUUCAAAAUCAAAUGAAGAUAAUUUCAUCGUUGUGAUAGGUGGUGGCCAAACAAGUUUAGCAAAUCGUCAAGGUUUUAUUCGGCGACUAUCAAUCCAGCACAUUGAUCAUGAGCUUGCACAUUUACUCGCACAAGAAGAUCUAAGCCAUGUACGAUCUCUGACAGUAACAUCUUCAGCUUGCACCAAACAUUUGCCUAGUCUUGCUAAAUUUGAAGCUCUACGUGUAGUAGAUUUUGCAGGUUGUGAGGGUUUGGAAGAGUAUGAUAUGAAAAGUAUUGGCAAAUUGUUCCAACUAAAAUACCUAAACUUUCCAGCCACGAGAAUUUCAAAGCUACCGUCAGAGAUCGUGUUGCUACGUGACCUAGAGACACUACAUUUUGGAGCUACACCAGUGGAAGAGUUGCCAACUGGAUUCGCUCAGCUGACCAAACUACAACACCUAAUUGGUGGAGGUUGGACAAUUAUACCAAAGAAGAUUGGAAAUAUGAGGAACUUACGGGAGAUAUCAGGCUUUAGUAUUACCAAGAGUCCGGCAGAUGCGGUGGAGGAUCUUGGGAACCUGCCAGGUUUGGAGGAAAUUGAUAUAUAUCUCGAUGGUGGAGAAUCUGACGAGUUCAGGAGGCAUGAAGAAAUGUUACUUUCCUCACUGUGCAAGCUUGGUAGGUGCAAGCUCCGGUCUUUAAGGAUAAGAGCGAACGAUGGUUCCCUCGAAUUCUUAGGGUCUUGGUCCCCAUUGCCAUUUACCCUUCAAGAAUUUCAUAUGGUCGGUGACUACUGUUUCACGAAAGUUCCAGAGUGGAUUGCUCCAGCACUCACCAGCCUUUCUUUCCUAGACAUCAAUUUAGCUGAAUUGACAGAGGAGGGUCUGGUCACUCUUGGAGAGCUCCCAACUUUACUUCACCUUGUACUGUGGUUUAGAAAAAUACCUGAUGAUAGGGUUAUAGUCCGAGGAUUCCCAAGUCUGAAGCAGUUUACCAUCUAUAGUAAUGAUGCGUCGGCAUACGUCACAUUUGUCAAAGGGUCCAUGCCCAAGCUUAAGAAGCUUGAUUUGCUUAUAAAUGUAUCAAUGGCAAAAACAUAUGACUUCUAUUUAGGCAUUGAGCAUCUCACAUGUCUUAAACAAGCAACGGCAAGGCUUGACAAUAGGGGCGCUACGCCUUCCGAGAGAAAGGCUGCAGAGGCUGCGAUCAGGGCUGAAGCAGGUGCCCAUCCAAACCAUCCCACAGUUAAUAUUUAUGAGGAGUUAUAUGAAGAGGACAGUGAAGAUACUGGUGGUGACGAGAAAAAGAGCAACGAAGAUGGUGACGCUGAUGAGAAUUAA